rnacentral:rRNA from 1 species
UACAGAGGGGGCAAGCGUUGUUCGGAAUUACUGGGCGUAAAGGGCGCGUAGGCGGCCUUCUAAGUCGAACGUGAAAUCCCUGGGCUCAACCCAGGAACUGCGUCCGAUACUGGAAGGCUUGAAUCCGGGAGAGGGAUGCGGAAUUCCAGGUGUAGCGGUGAAAUUCGUAGAGAUCCGGAGGAACACCAGCGGCGAAGGCGGCGUCCUGGACUGGUACUGACGCUCAGGAGCGAAAGCGUGGGGAGCGAUCCGG